rnacentral:lncRNA from 1 species
GAACCACCCAGGAAUGGCCAAAUGUUCCUGUGUGUCUAUGUCUGUUUGUGGUGUCCAGAGCUGCCUGAUCUCCAUCAGACUGGGGGUUCCUGGUACCUCUUCUGUCAGCUAAGGGAUUCCAGAGAACAGAGCUGUGUUUUCCCCUUCAGACUGAGCUUCCUAGGAAAAUUGAUGGUGCUAGCUCCUUCCUAGGGCUGCAGGUUAGGGGUGCAGCCCAGGCCAUACAUAGAUUCAUCUAACCCUGCUCUUGGGACUACUAGGACCCUCUGACCCGAAGGCAGAUCUGCUGCUACUCAGAACUUGUGGCCAAGGAAGAGGCUCAUCUUUGUGUACAUCACACCACAGGCUGGCAUGUGUUUGUGCUACAGUGCUUGGCAAUGAAGGAGCACAGAAGAGCUCAAGAUGCGUGGCUGAGCUGAAUUACUGCUUCUCCAGUGCUUCUCCCAGCAUCAAAGCUGCUCACUGCCUGUUGGUGAGUGAGCGUGUCAUUGUCUUCUCUGUUUAAGCCUUCUGUUGACAAUGUGACUCCCUCUAUUAAUUCUCCUUUCUUGCCACUUUCCUUCCUAUACCCUCAACUCUCUCACUCCUACCAUGAUUUUAACUGGCACUGGAGGGUUGCUCUACAUGGAGGAGCUUGUGUGCCAUUUUAGAGAAAGAAGGGAGACCUUGUCCCAAGCUACCACCACUGUUUGUCUGGACCAGGAGAGCCAGUCUUCCUGCUUCAAUGUCUGUGACCUGAGCAUUCCAGGGUUGAAGACCCAGGGAUGUCCUCCCAGCACUGGAAAGCUCUGCUACCCUGUCUUUCCCUAUGCCCUCCCAGGAUGAGCCCCCUCAGGAACUAAGCAUCACCCCUUUCAGGCUCCUGGUCUUCAGCCCCCUACCUGUUCACCCAAUCUGAACAUCUUCCAACCUGAUUCCAGCCC